GACGAACGCUGGCGGCACGCCUAACACAUGCAAGUCGAACGGACUUACCAGAGCUUGCUUUUUUAAGUUAGUGGCGGGGGGGUGAGUAACACGUGAGAAACCUGCCUCUGAGAGGGGGAUAGCUUCUGGAAACGGAUGGUAAUACCCCAUAAACUAUAAAUAUCGCGUGAGAGAUAUAUCAAAGAAAGUCGGUCAGAGAGGGGCUCGCGUCUGUUUAGAUAGUUGGGGAGGUAACUGCUCACCAGGUGGAGGAUCAGUAGCCGGACUGAGAGGUUGAACGGCGACACUGGGACUGAGCCACGGCCCCGACUCCUGCGAGAGGCAGCAGAGGGGAAUAAUGCGCAAUGAAGGGAACUCUGAUGCACCGAGGCCGGGAGGACGAAGAAGGUGUUCGGAUUGUAAACUCCUAGUAACAGAGCCGAUAAUGACGGUACCUGAAGAAAAAGCACCGGCUAACUACGUG
rnacentral:rRNA from 1 species